GACGAACGCUGGCGGCGUGCUUAAUACAUGCAAGUCGAACGGAAAGGCCCUGCUUUUGUGGGGUGCUCGAGUGGCGAACGGGUGAGUAACACGUGAGUAACCUGCCCUUGACUUUGGGAUAACUUCAGGAAACUGGGGCUAAUACCGUAUAGGAUCUCCUGCUGCAUGGUGGGGGUUGGAAAGUUUCGGCGGUUGGGGAUGGACUCGCGGCUUAUCAGCUUGUUGGUGGGGUAGUGGCUUACCAAGGCUUUGACGGGUAGCCGGCCUGGGAGGGUGACCGGCCACAUUGGGCCUGAGAUACGGCCCAGUCUCCAACGGGAGGCAGCGGUGGGGAGUAUUGCACAGUGGGCGGGCGCGUGAUGCAGCGGCGCCGGGUGCGGGAUGACGGCCUUUGGGUUGUGAACAGCUUUCGCCUGUGACGAAGCGUGAGUGACGGUAAUGGGUAAAGAAGCACCGGCUAACUACGUG
rnacentral:rRNA from 1 species